AGCGCUGUGUCUGACGUCACUUCCGUCGCAUUUCGGGGCGGUACCAAGAUGGACUCUUCGCGGGCCCGGCAGCAGCUCCGACGGCGAUUCCUCCUCCUGCCGGACGCCGAGGCCCAGCUGGACCGCGAGGGUGACACCGGGCCGGAAACCUCUGGAGCUGUUGAGAAAAAGGAGAAACCUCUUCCAAGACUUAAUAUCCAUUCUGGAUUCUGGAUUUUGGCAUCCAUUGUUGUGACCUAUUAUGUUGACUUCUUUAAAACCCUUAAAGAAAACUUCCACACUAGCAGCUGGUUUCUCUGUGGCAGUGCCUUGUUGCUUGUCAGUUUAUCAAUUGCAUUUUACUGCAUAGUCUACCUGGAAUGGUAUUGUGGAAUUGGAGAAUAUGAUGUCAAGUAUCCAGCCUUGAUACCCAUUACCACUGCCUCCUUUAUUGCAGCAGGAAUUUGUACAUAUAGAAAAGUGGAAAAAACUGAAAUGAAUGAAUUGGUGAAUGAAUUCUCAUGAAGUGAGCAUUGGUGUAAGCUGAGCCAGCACACUGGGAACCCCCUUCAUUCUCCCUCCCAGUUACUACACCUUCCCUCCUGCCACAGCUUCAACAUUGCUUUAUGGCAUGUGUGGUCGUUUUUCACUCCAUUGUUGUUGUUUACCCAGUUUAUGGGGGUUGUCAUGUUUAUCACACUCCUUGGAUGAUUUCCGAAGAGACAGGGUCUUCUAUGUUGCCCAGGCUGUCUUUGAACUCCUGGGAUCAAGUGAUCCUCCUGCCUCAGCCUUCGAAGUAGUUGGGACUACAGGCCCACGCCACCGUGCCUGGCUGGACAUGUAAAUUUGAAGUGAGUGGUUAAACAUCCAGGUAGCUGAAAGCAUGGCAGACCCUAACAGAAAAGCUACAGUGUGUUUUUGCAACUACGAAGUGAAUGGUUUCCUGGGAAAAAUUGUGACUUUGUAUAACUGUUGUUGAAACCAGAAUAAAUUAUAUUUCACUUGCAUAUGCUUAAAUUAUUAAAAUUAUCAGAAGUCAGUGAUACAGAAAUACUAUUUUGCAAUGUUAAUCUGUUUGAGUCUUUGGAGAAAGUGGUUUCAUUAUAGGUACAUAGUGCACUGUUAAUAUUUUAAACAAAUAGUUCACUCUUCCAUUUAAGGGAUAGCAGUUCCUUGUAUAAAAUGACUUGAUGUGUAUAAAGGAAUUAUGUUGUCAUGUGCCUUUAACCAGCUUUAGUAGUUACUAUAAUCUCAUAUUUAUGAUAGUUUUGUUAGGUGACAGGACCAAAUGAAAAUAUUUUAUGUUUUCUCAUCACUUUAGAUUUUAUCAUUAUGUACAUUCCUGGGUUUUUAGCAUUUCCUAAUGUGAAGUUUUAAUCACUUUUAAGCAUACAUUUUUUUCUGUAUCAUUUAAAUAAAAUAUUUUUAUAACUUU